rnacentral:rRNA from 1 species
UUAUCAUGAUAGUGGUGCAUGGCCGUUUCCAAUGGAUGCUGUGAAGUAAUGAUUAAUUUCAACAAGAUGUGAGACCCUCAUAUAGACAGAUGUAGUGAUACAUAUGAAGGAGAGGAUUAAAACAGGUA